AGUGAACGCUGGCGGUAGGCCUAACACAUGCAAGUCGAACGGCAGCACAGUAAGAGCUUGCUCUUACGGGUGGCGAGUGGCGGACGGGUGAGGAAUACAUCGGAAUCUACUUUUUCGGGGGGGAUAACGUAGGGAAACUUACGCUAAUACCGCAUACUACCUACGGGUGAAAGCAGGGGAUCUUCGGACCUUGCGCGAUUGAAUGAGCCGAUGUCGGAUUAGCUAGUUGGCGGGGUAAAGGCCCACCAAGGCGACGAUCCGUAGCUGGUCUGAGAGGAUGAUCAGCCACACUGGAACUGAGACACGGUCCAGACUCCUACGGGAGGCAGCAGUGGGGAAUAUUGGACAAUGGGCGCAAGCCUGAUCCAGCCAUACCGCGUGGGUGAAGAAGGCCUUCGGGUUGUAAAGCCCUUUUGUUGGGAAAGAAAAGAAGUAGGUGAAUACCCCGCUGUUCUGACGGUACCCAAAGAAUAAGCAACGGCUAACUUCGUG
rnacentral:rRNA from 1 species